CCUACGGGUGGCAGCAGUGGGGAAUAUUGGACAAUGGGCGAAAGCCUGAUCCAGCCAUGCCGCGUGUGUGAAGAAGGCCUUCGGGUUGUAAAGCACUUUCAGUGGGGAAGAAAGCCUUGGGGCUAAUACCCUCGAGGAAGGACAUCACCCACAGAAGAAGCACCGGCUAACUCCGUGCCAGCAGCCGCGGUAAUACGGAGGGUGCGAGCGUUAAUCGGAAUUACUGGGCGUAAAGCGCGCGUAGGCGGUCUGAUAAGCCGGUUGUGAAAGCCCCGGGCUCAACCUGGGAACGGCAUCCGGAACUGUCAGGCUAGAGUGCAGGAGAGGAAGGUAGAAUUCCCGGUGUAGCGGUGAAAUGCGUAGAGAUCGGGAGGAAUACCAGUGGCGAAGGCGGCUUUCUGGACUGACACUGACGCUGAGGUGCGAAAGCGUGGGUAGCAAACAGGAUUAGAUACCCCGGGUAGUC
rnacentral:rRNA from 1 species